rnacentral:rRNA from 1 species
CCUACGGGCGACAGCAGUGAGGAAUAUUGGUCAAUGGGCGGGAGCCUGAACCAGCCAAGUCGCGUGAGGGAAGACGGUCCUAUGGAUUGUAAACCUCUUUAGGCGGGGAGCAAUGCCGGGCACGUGUGCCCGGAGGGAGAGUACCCGCAGAAUAAGCAUGGGCUAACUCCGUGCCAGCAGCCGCGGUAAUACGGGGGAUGCGAGCGUUAUCCGGAUUUAUGGGGUUAAAAGGGUGCGUAGGCGGAUUUUUAAGUCAGCGGUAAAAUGUCCGGGCUCAACCCGGGCCGGCCGUUGAAACUGGGGAUCUUGAGUGGGCGAGAAGUAUGCGGAAUGCGUGGUGUAGCGGUGAAAUGCAUAGAUAUCACGCAGAACUCCGAUUGCGAAGGCAGCAUACCGGCGCCCGACUGACGCUGAGGCACGAAAGCGUGGGGAUCGAACAGGAUUAGAUACCCUUGUAGUC